rnacentral:rRNA from 1 species
CCUACGGGUGGCAGCAGUGAGGAAUAUUGGUCAAUGGGCGGAAGCCUGAACCAGCCAAGUAGCGUGCGGGAUGAAGGCCCUACGGGUCGUAAACCGCUUUUGCCCGGGGAUAACACCCUCCACGUGUGGAGGUCUGCAUGUACCGUGCGAAUAAGGGCCGGCUAAUUCCGUGCCAGCAGCCGCGGUAAUACGGAAGGCCCGAGCGUUAUCCGGAUUCAUUGGGCUUAAAGGGAGCGUAGGCGGUCGUUCAAGUCAGCGGUAAAAUCGCGCGGCUCAACCGCGCCCCGCAGUUGAAACUGGGGGCCUUGAGUCCACAAAAGGCAGGCGGAAUUCGUGGUGUAGCGGUGAAAUGCAUAGAUAUCACGAGGAACCCCGAUUGCGAAGGCAGCCUGCCGGGGCGCGACUGACGCUGAGGCUAGAAGGUGCGGGUAUCGAACAGGAUUAGAUACCCUGGUAGUC